rnacentral:hammerhead_ribozyme from 1 species
AUCCAGCUGAAGAGUCCUAAAUAGGACGAAACGCGCGUCCUGGAU